rnacentral:rRNA from 1 species
CAGUCGAGAAUACUUCACAAUGGACGAAAGUCUGAUGGUGCAACGCCGCGUGGAGGAUGAAGGUCUUCGGAUUGUAAACUCCUGUCAUCGGGGAGUAAGACCUGGCGGUAAAUAGCCGACAGGGUUGAUAGUACCCGAAGAGGAAGGGACGGCUAACUUCGUGCCAGCAGCCGCGGUAAUACGAAGGUCCCAAGCGUUGUUCGGAAUCACUGGGCGUAAAGGGAGCGUAGGCGGCGUGGUAAGUCAGGUGUGAAAUCCCGGGGCUCAACCCCGGAACUGCACCCGAUACUGCCAUGCUUGAGGGUUGGAGAGGUAGCUGGAAUUCUCGGUGUAGCAGUGAAAUGCGUGGAUAUCGAGAGGAACACUCGUGGCGAAGGCGAGCUACUGGACAACAUCUGACGCUGAGGCUCGAAGGCCAGGGGAGCAAAAGGGAUUAGA